GGCCUACCUGGUGACAUCAGGGCAGGUGAGGAUCCCAUUGGGGGUGUAAAUGACACAGGUCCAACCUGCACACUUCCCCCGUCGCACAAAUUCAAACAGCAAAGGCCAGGCACUGGGAACAUGGAGUGAUGAGAUGACAGUAGCCCUUCUCGCCAACACAGAGAAACCCACAAACACGCGAACCGGAACAGAAGAGGAAGCCAAAGAAAAUCCCAAAGGAAGACGCACUGAAUAUGGUGGAGCAGCUUUUCCUUAGUCGUGAAGGAAAGUGUUGCACCAUCUCAUAUCAGAACGAGUCAUGAAAGAUCAAUAAAAAUGAUGGCAUCUUUAUUUCAUUAAUGACCAAAUUCUGCAAACUUUGUUUGUUUUUCUUCAAAUACGUGCAUGUACUCAUUUGGCAUCUUGGCCCCAGAUUUGCUUUAAAGGGCGAUAUGAAAUUAAUCCAUCAUCUGUCCACCAGGUGGGGCUAAGCGACAAGAUAAGCGAGGCGUUACCGCAGGCUUCUCUGUAACAGGGUGCAGUUGAAUUUUUUUCAAGGCUCAUUGUGCGGUGUGUACAGGACAUUGCAGAUGUAUCGGUUAGGGAAAGCUUUAGUUUGUCAUUUCCGAUUUAAACUUGACUACAUGGACCCUGGACAGGGCUGUUGAGGCUGAUUUACUCUCAACACCUCUCAACCCAGUGGCUCUGAAACGCUGAUCAUGAGAUAAAGGAUACAGGAUUACUAAGCACCACUCUAUCACUACAGAGCACACAGUGACCAUAAUUAUGGUAAUACUAAUGCUGGCAUUGGCAACAGUGAUGGUGAGUGAGUAAACACAGAUCCCUGCCUGUCUGCGAGGGAGAUCUCUGCCCAGCUGGGUCAGCCUGUAGGCGUCUCUGUAGAAACCGGGCUGAACCAGAAGGUACUGAUAAACAUGCGGCACUAGGGGUGGAUCCACAACACGAGUGUGAAGAAAGGAUGUUGAAACAUGAGGGUGAUUAGGGGUACUAAACCUGUGUGCCCUGUGAUGGACUGGAGUGCUGUCUAGGGUAGUGCCAGCCACACAAUUCUCAUAAUGCAGAAAAAUGCUUGCCGACAUUUCAGCAGUAGUAUCCUUCGACGAAAUGCUUUCUAAACUCGAUCGUGUUCAUCGUGUAUCAGCAGGUAAACAUGAAUAUAACGGGCAAUGAAGGGAUCUACUCCUUGCAUACUGCCCUAGUAUGAUUUCACAGCAGCAUCUCCACAAAUGAACAGAUGUCUAGUUACAUUUCCUCCUGUCAGCCACAUUUCCACAUGGAAGAGCUGCUCACAUCUCCACACUCCACCAGUCAGCACAACCACCACUCUCUUCAGUUUCCAGCAAAGCACCCGUCUUGAAGACAGUGGAGUAAAAGAAAAUUAUCAUAAAGCAGGCCACAACCACAGAACACUCAGCAAUAUACUGAACUUCUCAGGAGAAAUAAAUCCAGUCACAUCCAGCCAACUCAUAUUGAUUAACAGUAUAAACCCUUUCAAUAACACACUUGUACAGUAGCAGUAGGGUCACAUAUAAACUAAACUUGUUUCCACGAUACAGAAUUAAUGAACAAAUGGUUUCAAAAGGCUCAAAUUGAGUUUUCACCGUUCUUCCGUCUCAGCGUGGAGAGCUGUCAGCAAUACCAAAGCAAACCUGAGCAGAUUUAAGAAACUUCCUGCUGUCACGGUGAGGCGUCGCUUCACGUGAAAAACCGCAGCUGCAGUUUUCUUUAGAAGCACAGACGUCAGUGUGAGCCCAGGGAGUCCUGCUCCUACACCGGGCUGCUGGCGAGACCGCGGCGAUAUGGACAAACUCCUGCUCCUCAUUACAGCUCUCUCGCUGCCUGCAGGUGACUUCACUCUUGCUGUUGCGUUUGCUAUAGACGGCCACGGGAAAAGGCUCGCAGUUCUAAUAUUUCAUGUUUCAGGGAGGCAUAAAUCCACGAUGGAGUUGUAUAUAUGCACACGAACAGGCAACCUCUUCGGCAGAAACAACUUGAAAAAUAAACCAAAAGGCCUUGAUUUCUGCCUUUAUUGGCUGAAGACUAAACAUGUUCUCGUUCAUUCUGGCGAUUAAGUGCAUUGAAAUUGUGUGUGUGUGUGUCCCCUGAUGGACUGGCGUCCUUGUCCGGAGUCUAUCCAGCCCUGUAAUCCACUCUACAAUUAAUCAUUUCAUUUUAGAAGUCAGGUACUCAGGUUAAAGUCCAGAGGUGAUCAUCUCAUUUCAUCUUUACAAAGGAUUUGGAAUGACUUGGAAUCGAUAACUUUAAAGAUCAUUCAAACUCGACUGUUCUCCGCUUCCUCAGGUGCACGGAGUGGCCUGUCCGUCGCCCCAGAGCGGACAGAAGUCCACGGUGAAGCCGGAGGCUCGGCGAGGCUGGCGUGCUCUCACUCCGCGGAGAGCAGCAGUGCCUUGCUGCUGUGGUACAGGCAGCGCCCGCUGGCGUCCCCAGAACACAUCCUCUAUCAAGGUGUCGGCUCCUACAGGGACACGCAGUACGUGGAAGACUUUGCCGAGGGGAGAUUUACUUCAGCCGCUGACAGCGCCUCCACCACAUUACACAUUUCCGACCUGACGCCGACAGACUCAGCCCUGUACUUCUGCGCUCUGAGGGACACGGUGGCAAAGCUCACCAGGGAGACCUACAAAAACACGCCGAGCUCCACACGCUACUCCAGCUGCGGUCGCUCUCCUGACGUCAUCGCGCAUCGGUCCAAUCAGCGUGACCGCAGUCUCUCCGUACGGCAAUCUGCGUCUGACAUCAGUCCGAUCAUUCACAGAAUUUUCUUCAAGCCAUUGAUUCGUUUUUUUGAUACUAGAGGGUGCAUUAUGUAUCAAUACUCUCUUGUUUUGAUGGAGCUACAGUAAUUAAACCGUGUGGAGGAAAAAAGUGCCCAGUACUGCAAUCAGCCUUGACGGUACUGGACUUGCCCCGGAGUGACUGGUAUUGAUGGCGGUAACGUGUAAUUAAUGUACUGAACUUCUGAGAAGACUUACUUCGCACGUAAAAUUUGAGUUCAUGGAUUCAAAACACCACACCGGUUUUCCUAGAGCGAGCAAACAAACAGAGCCUUGAUAUUUAUACCCACUUAGCUUUUAGAACUCAAACUGUGUGGUGGGCAAAGACCAGUUGUGAAUGCGUUUUCUGUCCCUAUUGUUAUUUUUUUUUUUGCACAAAUGAUUCCGAUAAUUGCUCAGACCAUAAAAUCUGGCAACACUCAAUUACAACAGGACCCGGCCAGUAAUUUCCUCAGUAAUGGUAUACACUCGCAGCCACUGUAGUUACACGUUGAUCAUCCUAACUAGACGUCACCUUGUGCUUUCAGACGGGUCCCGCGCUCCGCCCAGUGUCGCGUAAAAAGCGGAGCUGCUUCUGUUCGGAAGCCCUGUCGCCUUAGUGUGCUACACUCCGUGACGAAGACGGACAGCAGAGGAGAUAUGGACACGAAGAUCUUCACGGUCCUUAUGCUUUUAAUAAAAGACAGCGGAGGAAGUGAAACUGUAACUCAGCCCCCCGAGGUAACCGCCGAAGAAGGGCAGACAGUGACGCUCCACUGCCGCUACACAGCGGACAGGAGCUAUGGGAGUUACCUGCAGUGGUACAAGCAGGGUGUCAGCGGGGCCCCGCAGUUUUUGAUACAGACCUACUCGUUUGACGAAAAGCCGACGGCGGCUGUAGGCAGGUUUUCUGCAAGCCUGGACGCGGGUAACCAGUCGACGGCGCUGACGGUGACGGGGCUGUCGCUGUCGGACGCGGCGACGGUGCUGUGCGCUCUGAGGCUGACACGGUGUUGAAGCCCCGCAGAGCCCCUGUACAAAAACCUCUCGCACCGCAGCACAGCUCCAGAAAGUCACAGUGCCCAUUGCGUCCCUGUCAAGUGAAGAUCACACGCGAGAGAAACACUCUGCGUCCGUUUCAUUCCGCGCUUUUAUUGUUUUUCCAUUUCAUCUGUAGUUUCCUAUGAACUACACACACACUUGCAGAUUCAUUAUUUUUAACUAAUUGCAGGACUCAACCCGCUGCGCCCUUGGUCAACGGAUAAUGCUUGACCACCCCUACUAGGGCUAAAGGCCAAAGAACGAUGGUCACUUGUGACACGCUCAUUGAGCAGCUGGAUUCAGGACAUGAGACAUCGUGACGGAACCCGAACCAGUAGUACUGGUGUCCGGGAACAUCGGACUCUGGGCUCCGUGGUGUGAACUAUUCCUUAGCUCAGCAGGUGUUGUUGCGCGAUGGCUAUGAAUUGCCGUUUCGGAGGUCUAAUGCAGAAAGAGCCGUCAGUCUCGCCACUGUGGAGACCGAUUUUAAACUCUUACCAUUCGGUUCUGUGUCCUGGACCUCCGAUCCAUUCCCCUGAAUUUGGAAGUGGCGCUGUGCUGUUAUUCAGCCUCGGGUGCUGUGUAUUACGUUCUCCCUCCCUGAGUUAAUGCGAGUUUUCCUCCCAUCUUUCAGAGACAGGUAGGGUGGGAUAGAUUGCUUACUUUUAUUAGGCUUUUCCCCAGGAGAGCUGGGUACUCUUGACCGCCUCAGCUGGGCUAUUAAACAGAUAGAUGACAUCUUCUGUUAAUGACAUGACAUGGGAGAGCGCCGGGCUAGUCAGCUGGAUCACGUGUCAAUUCCUAUUUUUACCUGAAACCAUCAAAGUGCUUUUUACAGUCUUAUUCUUAAUUAUUGCGUCUCUCACCAUUACCACAAUUAUUGUCAAUGGCUGU